GUUCGUGCGUGUCUUACUUUCUUUUCGUUGCUCGUUUUGGGAAGACGCAAAAGUGUCGGUUGAAUAUUAGUUCGCUGGUGUAAUGUCGUAAAAGAUUGGUUUCCGUCAUCUAUUGAAGUAUUACCUUUCACGGAAUCAUCUUAUUAAACUAUGGAUUGAUAGUUUUUUUUUGGUUAAUCAAUAUCGUAGUGAACUUUUUUGAGAGGCUUUUAAACGAAUUACCAGCGAAACUAUUGACCGUAUCUUCCUGAUCGUUAUUAAUUAUCAUACAACGUCAAUCUUUCCAAUAGACCUUCUUUAAUAAGAGGGUCCUUGUAUCCCGUGUAAAUUUGCACAUUAACAUAUGUCACCGGAGGGACGUCCAUUUUGAAUUAUUACCAACAGAUGCCUUCAUCUGAAUACACAUUCAGCAGUAAUCAGCCGUUUGGAACCAUGAGAUAGAAUACAUGACCUAUAUCUGAGCUUAUCACCGUCGACAUAAUUACUUAGCCUAUAUCAAUUAUCUGACCAGUUUUGGGGAAAUUUUCCCUAUUUUAAAUUUAACUGUAAGCGUAAUUCUGGUUAACGAUCUUUCGAUUAAUGCCGACAUAAUUGGCUCUGAUUAUUGUUUUUGCAUUUGAGAUCUCCUUCGGAGACAUGAUUUAAUAUUGGUUUGUCCUAUUACGAUCGUGGGAAGUACCGCAAGUGGUAAGCCCCUCAGGCACCGUUAAGUACCUCACUGUAGCAUUUUUGAUUCACCGAGGCAUUCUCGGUUAAUUUGUCCUUUUAUUCUUUAUUAUAGCUACUAGGUUGAACAUUCUUGGGAUGAGCUCACUCCACGAAUGCCUUCGGAACUACAGGUAAGAAUAAUACCUUCUCUUUAUAUACUUGUGUGUUCGCCACCUCGUUUUGGGGUGGUCAGGUACUCACUGAUUAUAUUAUUGUUGUGCCGCUACUGUUACACUUCCUUAUUCCGGUAACAGUCAGUGUAUAAUAUUCCAGGUAAUAAGGUGGCGCCCUUACUGCUUUGCUCUAGCAUACCUAAUUAUUAGAUGAGAGGAACGGAAUUCAGUGCCCGCAGAGACCGAACGAUACCUAAUGACCCUUGAGUGCUCAAGCUUACCCCGAUUAAUAGUCACCCCUGAGCUAGUUGGCCGAUUAGCGGCGGGUUUGAGCAAAUUC